ensembl:lncRNA
GCUGUAUAUAAAACUAACAUGUGCACAUUGUGCUUGAAUUGCAAAGUCUGUACAGCUUUACAAAGGACUACCCUUCAGAAGGGCAUCCAGUAAACACUUUAUUGCAUAUUUAACACAUGGUAUAUAACCCACAUGUACAACAAAGAAAAAACAAGAGAAAAGUAGUAGAAAGAAAAGAGUAGAAGGUGGAUGAAAAUAGCAGCUUCCAGUGCACAGCUUUCAGACACUGGUCGAGAAAAGAAGACUGCCACAUUUAUAGAGUUGUGCUUGUGUGUCACUGUUGCAUAUACUCACAUGCAUCGCGUUUCUUAGAUGAAACCUAUGUACAAUUCUCCUGAUAUAAAGGUCAAAAGGAACUCGCAUCUCUCCACUCUUGGAUGAUUUGAUUUUACAUGUGAAAUGCCUAGAGAGGUUUGGGUUCAAAUCAAAGUCAGCUACAGACCAGACCAAUACAUGUUCCAUACCAGCCCCAUGCCAUCCCCAGUACCCAACCUCGCCCCUGGCAAAGCUUGGAACAGUGCGCAGCUCUCCCCGAGGAUGUCUAUGGAGGCAAUUACAAACACAAAGAAUGGUUUAGGAGGAACGUACUAAUGUAGUCUCCAUGCGCUUUUCCCCCAACCAUGGUGUCACGGGUUCGAGGAACUCUCUUAGGACCAAAGAAAUCACACAGCUGCUGCUGCUGCAGUAGAGAAUGCAAGGUCAGACCAACAUCACGGAAACCCCAAUGCCAUUCAUUUCUGACAUUUCUGGAUGAAGUCACUGCAUUUCUUUCCUGUGCAGAAGCCAGCCAAAUGGUUAAGGCAGUACCAUACACUCUCAUGAAUCCUCCUAAUUUGAGAUUCUUUAAGGUGUGCAAACACAUCCGGGAGAAGCCCAGACCACUCAUCUUUCUAGAAUAGCCUCACUAUCAAAAGGAAUCAAAUGGGAUGAUUACACAGACUUUCUGGAUUCUGGCACUGAGAAAGAAUAAACAAAAGCUCUAAGUUCAAAAUUUUCAGACUGCAAAAUUAAAAGUUAAGUAGUUAAACAUAUUGGUUACUUCAAGCCCGCUUCUUCUAUGACCAGAUUUAUUUUAUCACAGUGCUGACAGGCAUCUUUUCCUCAGCUCAUAAACCGUCUCUUCAAAAUUUCAUUUCUCUUUCUUAAUCCAAAAGUAAAAGAGAUUGCAGAUUGACGGGACACAUAUUUGGUUUCUGGUGAUCAUUUGGUACAAAUAGCCAAGCCAUACUGUAUUUGACAGGCUUUUUACUUGGAAAGCGGGGGACCUUAUGGUUAUAAUUUAUAGAAGUCACAGUAUUGUUGUAAGGCAUUAAUAUAAUGGCCUGCAACCAACCAGUUACUAAUAGGAUUAAGACAAAGGCCAGUGGAAAAUUGACUUCACCCCACCCCCACUAGCUCAAUGAUCUGAUCAAUGACUCUGAAGGCCUUCAUCUAUCCAGAUAACAUUCUUGUGGAUGUGAGGGGAUGUGGAAUCUGCUCAAGUGUAGAAGCAGCUUCUUUUUUUUUUUUUUUUUUUUUUUUUUUUGUCCAAUGGCUGAAAUAACUUUCUCUAACACGGAAAAAAUAUUUAAUGCACAUUACAGCAAUGACUUUCAGUUUGAAAGAAGCAUGUGUCUCGAAUUUAUGUUUAUACUACAUUGUUCCCCCUUAAGAGCAUGUAUGGAGAUGGGGGUGGGGAAUGAUUAUAACAAUGGACGCUAAUUCAGAAAGCCCUUCAAGUGA